UGUGAUUCGAAAUACGCAAGCGGACAAGUGGGCAGAGCAAGAUUUUAUCAUCGGAAAUUCUCGUCGCAUGGCAUGACCGGUUCGGUAGAUCUGCAAGAUAUUUUAUUAAAAUUGGAGUACAUUUCAAUAGACGACAGAAAUGCAGCGCAAUAUACUUAAAAUCGUGAAUUUCCAGCUAUUACAGAGGCGCUUCUUCAAAAAGUAUCAUGUUAGGGUUAGAUUCGCACCGAGUCCAACCGGUCAUUUGCACUUAGGUGGACUGCGUACUGCUUUGUACAAUUAUUUAUUUGCACGUAGCAAUAAUGGCACUUUUAUUCUGAGAAUAGAAGAUACUGAUCAAACAAGAACCAUUCCCGGAGCAAUGGAAAAGCUUCAGGAUGAUUUACUGUGGGCAGGGAUUAUAUCUGAAGAAGAUCCUAUCAGAGGUGGUCCUGUUGGUCCUUAUAAACAGUCAUCACGUCUUGAAUUAUAUAAGGAACAAGUACUUAAACUUCUAGAGAAUGGAUCUGCCUACUAUUGUUUUUGCACAGAGAAAAGACUGGAAUUGUUAAGAAAAGAGGCAAUGAAAUGUGGACAAGUACCUAAAUAUGAUAACAGGUGUCGACAUUUCAGUAAAGAUGAAGUGAAAGAAAUGUUUAGAAAAAACUCAACUUAUUGCAUUAGAUUUAAAUUAUCGUCUACACCAGAAUCCUUUAACGAUAUAGUUUAUGGAGAAAUUUUGCAUGACAUUGCUAAAACAGAAGGAGAUCCAAUUAUUAUAAAAUCAGAUGGCUAUCCCACUUAUCACUUUGCAAAUGUGGUUGAUGAUCAUUUUAUGGAGAUAUCUCAUGUCUUGCGAGGUGUUGAAUGGCAAGUCUCUACACCCAAACAUAUUAUGCUUUAUAAAGCAUUUGGUUGGGAUCCUCCUAUAUAUGGGCACUUACCUUUAAUACUAAAUGCUGAUGGGUCUAAGUUGUCGAAGAGACAGGGUGACAUAAAGAUUGAGUCAUUUAGGAAGCAGGGUAUUUUUCCUUUAGCGUUAUUGAAUUAUGUGAUAGGUGCUGGUGGUGGUUUUCAUGGAGACAAGGAAUACCAAAAUCUUUACAGUUACCAAGAAUUAAUUAAAAGGUUUGAUGUUAAUAAAAUAAAAUCAAGUUCUGGCAAACUUAUGCCUGAAAAACUGUUGGAAUUCAAUAAGCUGGAAAUAGCAAACUUGGCAAGAAAUGAAAAGAACCAUGAAUUUUUGAUUGAAAAGAUUAAGAAAUUAGUAUUAGAAGCAUUUCCAGAACGGAAAAAUGACGGAAGUUUGCAACUGGAUGAUCAUCACAUAAUCACCACAUUAAAAUGGGCACAGAACAGAAUAUCAACGCUUAAUGAUCUUGUCAAAAAGGACCUAACUUUUUUAUGGGUUCCACCUUCUGUGCCAAAUAUUGAACAAGUUAAUUGCACAGACGCAAUUAAACUGUUAAACACAGAAUUAGCUGAAAUAGAUGCAAUCAAUUAUCAGACUUGUUGGAUGGUUUCAUAUCUUGAAGAUUUUGCCCAAAAGCAUAGAAUUCCGUUUCCCAUUUUGAUGAAAAUUCUGAGAAGCGUUUUGAGUGGUGCAAAAGUUGGACCACCUGUUGCUGAAAUGAUGGAAAUUCUCGGAAAGGAUAGAACAUUGUUACGAUUACAGCGCUGCGUUUCUUGAGAAUUUAUACACAUCGUUUAAUUGCAUUACUUGUACUACACGGAUUAGAGGUACACGUAUUAAUUUGGAGAAAAUAUAAAGACUUAUAGCUUACUGCUCUUCAUAUAAUGUGAAAUGGAUACUAGUCAAUGGAUACAGUCAUAUUUUAUGUGUAAUUAAUUAUAUAUAUAAGAUAGUUAAAUAAUAGGUGAAUAGAAGUAUGGGGAUAAUUAUAGAUAAAGAGAGAGAGAGAGAGAGAGAGAGAGAGAGAGAGAGAGAAAGAGAUAUUUUGUCUACAUUAUAACAUAUAUAAAUUUCCGUUUUUGUGUCUCACAAUAACUUCUAUAUUUUUGACGGUCUGAAAAACUAAUAUUUCUAUAUCUUUUGCUGAAAUAAAAUUCGCUUUACAAAUA
rnacentral:misc_RNA from 1 species